rnacentral:rRNA from 1 species
GUCGACGAUUCACGUGUAGCAGUGAAAUGCGUAGAGAUCGGGAGGAAUACCAGUGGCGAAGGCGGCCUUCUGGACUGACACUGACACUGAGGUGCGAAAGCGUGGGUAGCAAACAGGAUUAGAUACCCUGGUAGUCCACGCCGUAAACGAUGUCGACCAGCCGUUGGGUGCCUAGCGCACUUUGUGGCGAAGUUAACGCGAUAAGUCGACCGCCUGGGGAGUACGGCCGCAAGGUUAAAACUCAAAUGAAUUGACGGGGGCCCGCACAAGCGGUGGAGCAUGUGGUUUAAUUCGAUGCAACGCGAAGAACCUUACCUACUCUUGACAUCCUGCGAACUUGUGAGAGAUCACUUGGUGCCUUCGGGAGCGCAGAGACAGGUGCUGCAUGGCUGUCGUCAGCU